rnacentral:rRNA from 1 species
CGCGCCGGCGACCGGCGCACGGGUGAGUAACACGUAUGCAACCUGGCCGUGACAGAUGGAUAACCGGGAGAAAUCCCGCCUAAUACAACAUAAUGCCGGGAGGGGACAUCCCCUGCCGGCCAAAGGGGCGACCCCGGUCACGGAUGGGCAUGCGGCGCAUUAGGUAGUUGGUGGGGCAACGGCCCACCAAGCCGACGAUGCGUAGGGGUUCUGAGAGGAAGGUCCCCCACAUUGGAACUGAGACACGGUCCAAACUCCUACGGGAGGCAGCAG